UUCCUCUGGGCUGAACCAGGACAUCUUGAAGACAAACAGAAGACAAGGAUACUAUCUUGGCUAAUCUAUGUUCUGAGCUGCUGAAAAACUAUUUUCUUGGCCCGACUUCCACCAGAAAAUACUGUGAAUGCUGCAAAGGAAUUGAAGCAGUUAAUAGUCCUACUCAGUUGUGACACCUAUUAAGCCCAACAGGGACCAGCAUGGGAAGUAAGAUGAGCAGCUCUGUCCCACAGUUUCCUCAUCACCGUGUCUGCCUCUCCACAGAAGAAAGAUAACAACCAUGUCCUGACAUCAAGAGCCAUAGGAAAGCUCUCCUCUUUAUACGAUUACUUUCUCAGGUCUGGGCAAAGAUCAUGAAUGUGAGGUCAAUUAGUACAGACACUUACUGCAAUGAAAAGAAGAUGGCACAGCUCGACAAAAUGACCAUUGGCAGCAAACAGUAUCCCAGCACACUGGCCACACAGCCGUAUGACACCCCUGCAGAACUCAUCAAGUUUAGUAAGGUGUGAAGCAGAAGGCAGCCAAUGGCACUCAUUCCAUAUACAUAACCAAACUGGGCUUUUCCUGCCUGAAGCAAAGCAUAGAAAACAAUUAGAAAUCACAACAGACGUGAGGAGAAAUAAUAAUAACAACAACACAGAGAGCAUCCAAGAAUCUACUCAAUGCUGCUGAAUAUCAUGGCAAAGAAAGAAGACUGUGUUAACUCAAAUAAGAUAAACAGUACCCUUUUAUGGAAAAUAUUGCAAAGGAGGCUCUUCAUCAAAACCGUCAUCUGAAGAAGAGUGUGGAUAAUAGUCUAAGUUAGAUGCUGGCUGAAAGGGCUGUCCUGCAU